UGGGUCGGCAAGACGGUCGCGUCAUCCGUUGCCCCCGGGCAGCGGAUGCCGAGGAACGUCCGGGCUCCGCAGAGCAGGAUGGUGGGUAACACCCACCCGGGGUAACCCGCGAGACAGUGCCACAGAAAGUAGACCGCCACUGGCGCAAGCCGGAGGUAAGGGUGAAACGGUGGUGUAAGAGACCACCAGAGGCCAGGGUGACCUGGUCGGCUCGGUAAA
rnacentral:RNase_P_RNA from 1 species